GACAGCAGCAGCCGCGGUAAUACAGAGGGUGCGAGCGUUAAUCGGAUUUACUGGGCGUAAAGCGUGCGUAGGCGGCUUUUUAAGUCGGAUGUGAAAUCCCUGAGCUUAACUUAGGAAUUGCAUUCGAUACUGGGAAGCUAGAGUAUGGGAGAGGAUGGUAGAAUUCCAGGUGUAGCGGUGAAAUGCGUAGAGAUCUGGAGGAAUACCGAUGGCGAAGGCAGCCAUCUGGCCUAAUACUGACGCUGAGGUACGAAAGCAUGGGGAGCAAACAGGAUUAGAUACCCCGGUAGUCCCUGUCUCUUAUAU
rnacentral:rRNA from 1 species